GAGCCGCAACCCACGGCCCACAGAAUAUAGUGCAUUAGCUAUUACCGGAACCCUAACCCUAGGAGAGGAAAGAGUCGGCGCCGCUCGGAGUCGAAUCCCACCUUAUUCUUUUGGAAGCAAAACAGCAGAACUCACUCAGACGCGUUUCCGGCGGCAGCUUUCCGGCAUCAUCACAUGGUGGGCUCCUUUACCUUCUCUAGUCUCUUUGAUGGAUUGGUAUAAGAUAGGAUGCGGGGAAAGGACUGUUGAUAUUGACCUCAGGGUGGUUGGAUUUCAUUACAAAGGAUAAAAUUAAAGAGAGUUGGUAGUUGAUUGGACUGGCAGUUGUUGGUAGUUGUUGGAUUGGAAUGGGAGGUUUUGGAAAUAAAGGAGUUGGUAAAUAAUGAAUUUGAUAUAAACCAGAUUCAAUGAGGCUGAUAAGCAUCUCUCGUGCUGCAUCACCAUCAAUAUCCAUGUGAACAGCAAUGUAGAUUUCUUCAAGCUCAUUUUGCUUCUUCAAGAUAAGCUCUUUCAUUUUUUCGCUAGUUUUUAGAAUGUUCUGUCUCUCUCAGAUAGUUUAUGAUGAUGAUAAUUGAUCAAAUAUCUUUAUUUGUCUUGGAGCCAUUUUCCCCAUUGAUUUGGUUACUUAUGUGUGAUAAGUUUGAUAUAAUAUAAUGAUCAUCAUUAGUGGGAUGAGCUCGAAUAUUUGAAGUUGAAGAUUAUCAAAUUUAAAACAGUGUUUUACAUAUUAUGUUGAUUGCCCUUGAUGCUAGAAUCUUCGAUUUUGUAUAUUUUCUCGGAAAAAUAAUUUUGACAGUUUAGUCAGUGCGGAGGAAAUCUAUCAAACAACAAAUAAGUGAAACACAGCAACAAACAGAUGUUAAGAGAAACUUGAACAAAUGGAGAGCUUAUAUAUGAAAUGAUGAAGUUUGCAAUGUUGGCAUACUUUUAGUAUCAGCAAAUCCUGUGUUGAUGCCUUUAGAAUAAAUCUCAGAAAACAUCAGAAAUCUCAAAGAUCUUCAUAUAUAUCCGGAUUGUGGAUUAUUUUCAAGGGUUGAGCAGGAAAGCUUGUUUUCUGUUGACACAAGUCCAGCCCUAAGAAUUUGAGAGUUGUAAUAGUCCAAACAAGAGAACAUGAUGGAGAAGUAGUAUACUUGAAAGGAAAUUGGAACAGAGCCAAAUGGUUUUGAGAUUUUGAAUAGAAGACUGGACAUUUUGAAGAGUCUGGGAUUAUUCAUGAACCUUAAAGGUUGUAUGUUUGACCUUCUCAGCAGUUCCUAUGCACUGUUUUGCACCUUUGCAGAAUCCUAUACUUUCUUGGAAGCUGCAGAUAGAACACUAAACAGGCUUGCAUCUUUUACAACGGCAUGUUGAGAGUAGGUGAAUCAGGAAAUGACAGGGGAACCAUGCACUUCUUGCCAAGUUGGAUGGCUACUAACCUUCAGGGUUGCCAUUAUCGUGUGUGGUGUUGUAGAGAAGACAACCUUAACAUGAAGCUUAAAUGGGCUGAGUUAAUUCCAUAAUCUGCUCUCUGUUUGGCUUUUUCAGAAGCUGAAUCUGAUUGAGUGUACCAGCUGCUGCUGCUAGUGAGAUCGUUGCCUUCUCUGUCUGGUUGCAUGGAUUUUCUUUUGUAUCUUUGGUGACAUGUUGGAGAUGUGAACUGAAUACCACAUUUUGCUGAUAUAUCUGGGCAUCGCUCAGAGCUCGGAGCUGCUUCUCAUCUGGCAAAGCGAGCUGGGAUGGACGCUCUCGAUGCCAUUCCUUGUCAGGAAUCUGCCCCUACAAGGAGAUCAAUUGAAAGAGAUGGGAUCUCUUCUUCAAUUCCCCUCCAAGGGCCCUGGGGAGGGCAGCAAAAAAAUGAACCACCUUAUGAAAACUGUUGCAUUGGUAAAAAUAGACGUUCAUUAGGCCCAGAGCAUGAAUGGGAGCUUCUAUUAGUCUUUGGAGUCUAACCAUGCAUGGCUCAACUCCAAGACUUUGGUGCUAACUUAGCACAAAUACUAGAUUUAGAUUUGUCUGGAAGGGGUUUUUAUUAUUUUAAAAAGAGCCUAGAAGAUCUUACAUUAGGAGGUUAAUAAAUACCACCAUGAAUAAAAAGUUUUAGGAAAUCUAAGUUGUAUUUAGCAAUACUUUAUCAUGAAAUGACAUCUACUACGCUAAUGAUAGGGGAAAGUGUCUCCUGGAUUAGACGAAUUCGGACUUGAUCUUUUGAACCCAUGAACACAAGUCAUUGAUCGAGCCAUCAAAUGCAAACCAUGUUACAUAUAUGGUGAUUGAAUUCAACCAGGCACAACUUUGACAAUCAGAGACAUUUUUAGCUAAAGCCAUGACACUAUCAAGCAUUCUUUCAAAUUUGUCAGAAAAUUACACUAGAAUUAUCUAACAAACCCUUCCAAAAAAGCUAUACAAUAGAAGGACCCUGCCAAAAAAAAAGAGAGAAUGGCAGAACCUAUCUUUCUUCUGAAAAUAUUAUAAAUAAGAUAAUAGGAGAAGGGAGGUGUUUAGCAACUGCUUUUUUUUUUUUUUGUUUUUUGCCAGGUUCUGGAUUCCCGGGUGUUUGACACCAACAGUUCUGAUUGCUGGUAUUGUCACCGUGAUUCUCCAAAAAAAGAAGAAGAAAAGAAACAGUAUUAAUGAUUAUAUGCAUCAUUGUUUGCUGAAUAAAAAUAUUGCUUUCUGGAUUUAUAUGAACAUUUGCAUCAAGAAAGAACUGCUUUUCCUGCCAUAUUACUGCAUUCACUGGCGGAGCCAAGGUUGGGGUAAGGGGGGCAAAAUAAUGAAAUCUAUUUUAGUAUCCUAAUGUAUCACCCAACAUGGCCCUUCAAAAAUAUUAUAGUAGCUGCUAUACAUAUAAUGACUGUAAUACUUCACCAAGAGCAUAACGUAUAGGUGAUAGUUUAGAUCUCAACUCGUGUGUAAUUUCUCUUCCUGAAUGACAUGGUUUCAUUUCCUGAUGGACGAUAGUAUUAUCGAACUUGCUUAACUACUCAUCUUACGAGCUGAAAGACUGACAGAUAUCCCAUUUCCUGAUGAUUUGGCUAAUGAAUGCAGGAUGCAAGACAAAUCAGCUUUCAACACGGUUCUAUGAAUCAAAUCACUUUAAACACUGUUCUGUAAUAUGCUCAAACUAAAAUCUUAGAUGCACAAGUUUCCUUCUUGCUUCUUCUUCUUUCUUUUAUUUCUUAUGUUACAUAUUUUGAAGAAUCUAAAGCAUCUAAUAAGCAAGCUAGUUCACAAAACAAUCUAAACAGGUAUUCUAUCUAUUGGUUUUACAAUAUUUCAUCUACA